UUGAGAAAGAGAAUAUGAAACAGCUUUGAUAUUAGACAAACAGUGAUUUCUUUAUGAAGUAUUGAAAAAGGGACCAAAAAAAUCCAAACCCGAAAACUUCCAUAUUCCUAUAAACUGAAACCAGGCAGUUUAAAAUUUGUGAUACUGGGGAGACUUAGUUCAAAAUGAUACAAACCAGAUGCAGUCAUGUUUUUGCGUGUCUGUUCAGACGUACAAAAUAUCUCUGAUAACCAAAUCUGACAGAGAUAGCAAAUUCAGCAGUGUUAGGCUCCAUUAAGUCAGUGAAUAGGAGGAGAUUCAAGUAAUGUUCUUAAUGAAAAGUUACGGAAUGAGUUUGACUGUCAUUAGAUACCAGAAUCCCAAUGCAGGAGAUCAUUACAAACGCCCAAAUCAAAGAAAAACUUCAACAUGUUAUUAAGCUCUGGAACAUAACACUCCCUCCAGCCUUAGGACCCAGAGCAACAACAAGUGAGGUUGCAUGACCUGCUGACAGAAUUGGGUUUGUCUCUGCUAUUUCCAACAUCUGUGAUGUGAUGGAAUUUUAGGAACUGAAGUUCAGAUUUCCAACAGGGACAUACCCAGACAUAAGUGCAAACUCACUUGAAUGUGUGGGCAUCUCUAUUAAUAAGACUACUCAUUAAAUUGAAUAGGUUGUUGGCUCUUGUGUUUUCUGAGUCCGUAUGGAACUACUACUACUGGGCAAGAGCAGCACGAGCCACCAUAAUUUCUCUUUAAAUCCUUGGUUUAUUUUCUGUGUCUUAACAUUUUCACUGAGAUGUUUAGACACAUAUACUUCUUGAAAGGGGAAUAUCUAAGCAGAAGGUUUACAUUGUAAGUUAAUGUGUGCUACUAUUUGCUCUGGAAGUUCUCGUGUUAUCGCAUCCGAGAACACAGAUUACAGCGUGUGAUUUACCUUUAUAAUCAACACUAAUUAGAACAACUCAAAUCCAAAUAAUGAACACGCAUUCAGAUACUGCAGUAACAAUGCCUACAAUGCUAGAGAAAUGUAAAUAAUGCAGACUUCCUACCCUAGCCUUAACCACAGUCAGUUGCUAACAGUAAGGCACAGGUGAUGCUUUCAGAUAUGCUAAUCAGCUGUCAAACAGCAAGACUGUGUGCCAACAUCAUUUACUUAUUUAAACAAUAUGAGUGACGUGAACUAUUCUGCACAUCCACAUCAGCACUCUGCAUGACAAGGUUUUACAGCAAGACUGUUGUGUGUCAGUCUUGCCUGCCCAAAACUCCAAGCCGUUCCUUUCACAACAUGAUGAGGUUAUAUUCUUGCCUCUCUAAUAAAUUAAUGAUUGUGUAAUUCACAUCUUCCUUUGCAUUGUCUGAGCACAAACAUUCCACAUUCUGUACAGAAUGCUCUCAUUUAAAAGAUAUUUAUAUAUUUGCUUUUAUCUAGUCUCAGCUGUGUUGUGUCUGAGGCUCUAAAUAAAGUCAGUUGCAAAAUAGACAAAAAUAGAUGACAGGAAAAGAUAGUGUCAGACAAAUGUCACUAUUCCAGCCAUCUUUUUUUUCACUCGUCUGAAAUGUGGCAUGGUUGAAAUGCAAGGGAUAGCAGCAAAGAGUGAAAGAGCCAACAGGAAAGGGCUUGCAGGUGAAAUGUGCCAAGGUGGUUGCAGAGUGCCCUGUCCACCUUUACAAGAAUUAUAAAUCAUAGCAGUCUAACUGAAAAUAUUCCUGGAGCAAAUACUACAAGUGUAAACUAGGAUCUCAUGAUCACUUCAACCAUUCAUAUCAUGUUUUUAGUACACAUGGCUUAGCUGCCAAAAAUGCCAUUUGGCUUCACUCUUCCUAGAGAGAUGGAAGCAAGGAAUUCCUUCCAGCCUAAGUAAGUGAAUAAAGAAGUUUCUUUCAUUUCCUGAUCCUGUGUAGUGCUCUAAUUUGUACGCUUAAGAAGGAUGCCUCCCUAAUCUGGACAUCACAACUCAUGUUUUUAUAUCUUCCCUUCUGAUGUUCUUAGCGAAGUUUCUGGGGGAGUUAGUGAUUAUAUCCAGAUGGAGUUAGACCAGUUGUUUUUGUGCACUGGUCAUUAAUACAUUGAGUAUUAAUGCAGUGAUUAGCCAUGGCAGGUAGGAAAGAGAAGCCUCUGUAUGUUUUUCCCCCCACAGAAUUAUGAUGGUGCUUCAGCGUAAGGCUUUCUUUUGAUGACCAGCAAAAAUGAUGCACAACUUAAUGGUGGCAACUGCCUUACAGCCUGUAUCCUCCUGAUGGUCUUGUCAAAAUCCACAUACAUAGUAUUUGUCUAAACUCUCUUCAGUCAUACUUGCUGUGGUCUUUCUAUAUGAUUGCAGUGUAUUAGCAUGUACAUCUUGAAAGCACUGCACUUCAAAUUUACUGCAAUACCUCUUAGUCUGUACAACUGUGACUGAUCAAGACCAGCUACCUCUUACAAGAAUAGGAAUCCAACAGCCAGAAAAGAAAGCAACUUUAUAUUUUAAAAUAAUGCAACCUGAAUGUUGUAUUUUUUCUUUCAGUUAGGCCCCUGCAAUUGCUGCCUGUAAAUUCCUUUCAGUAAACCUAAAACUCUUACUGGAUCUUCUUAUCUCUGAGGCAUCAGAUCCUAAACCUGCACUCAGGAAAACAGCUGAAAUGUUGCUGACUUAAAAGAGCAGCAACUUCCACUUUUAAUUUCUCUCUCCUGUGCCUUGUACCAAGAAUGGAGAUGAAUAGCUGACCCAUUGCCUUUGCACUUAAUUGCGAGAUAAUUAAAUUGUGUUGUGUUGAAAGGAUGAAGUGAUGCAUACUAGGGAGAGGAAGGUGUGUCAUUUCCAAACCACACUGAAGUAUCAGACUCUUUGCAAAGUGACGCUCACCUGGGAUUAGUAUAGUAGCUCGUUAACUAAUGGAUUUUUCUGAUCUGUUGUUCUGUCCAGUUCUAUGAAUUUAAGAAUAAGAACAAAUCAUUAAAAUCUCUAUUGUGAAUGGAAAAUAAGAGAAAGAAAUGCUUAAAUAUAAUUCAAAAAAAUCCUAGGACUGCAAAACGAAAAACUGUAAGUACUAAUCAGCAAGUCGGACCUAUUGCUUCACCGCAGCAGAGGAAUUUCAGCCUAGAGUCCCUGCCUGCAUCCAACAGCCUGUUGUGCAAGGGGCUCUCUUCAUUCCUUAGCCAGUUGAUGAGCCAGUUCAAGCCUUUUAGAGUGACCAGGGACUGGAGGAAGGCUCUUCAAGUGUAUAUAAUACUCAACACAGUUUUUAUCAAAUGAAUCCCAAUAAAAUCUGAAAAGUAAUAAUUUGGACAUCGGUGAAUGUAUCUGCUGGACAAAGAUCUUAGUCAUUCACA